ACGUAGGCAGCAAGCGUUGUUCGGAAUUACUGGGCGUAAAGAGUGUGUAGGCGGUGCUCUAAGUUCGGUGUGAAAUCUCCCGGCUUAACUGGGAGGGUGCGCCGGAAACUGGAGUGCUCGAGGGUGGGAGAGGAAAGCGGAAUUCCUGGUGUAGCGGUGAAAUGCGUAGAUAUCAGGAGGAACACCUGCGGUGUAGACAGCUUUCUGGACCACUUCUGACGCUGAGACACGAAAGCGUGGGUAGCAAACAGGA
rnacentral:rRNA from 1 species